rnacentral:rRNA from 1 species
CCUACGGGAGUCAGCAGUGGGGACUAUUGCACACUGGGGGAAACCCUGAUGCAGCGACGCCGCGUUAGUGAAGAAGUAUCUCGGUACGUUAAGCCCUAUCAGCAGGGAAGAAAAUGACGGUACCUGUAUAAGAAUCCCCGGCUAACUACGUGCCAGCAGCCGCGGUAAUACGUAGGGGGCAGGCGUUAUCCGGAUUUACUGGGUGUAAAGGGAGUGUAGACGGCAGCACAAGUCUGGAGUGAAAUCCCGGGGCUUAACACCGGAACUGCUUUGGAAACUGUGCGGCUGGAGUGCAGGAGGGGGAGGCGGAAUUCCUAGUGUAGCGGUGAAAUGCGUAGAUAUUAGGAGGAACACCGGUGGCGAAGGCGGCUUGCUGGACUGUAACUGACGUUGAGGCUCGAAAGCGUGGGGAGCAAACAGGAUUAGAUACCCUAGUAGUC